GCCUCGUGUCCUGCUGGUAGCUGCUUGCCAUUGUGUCAAAGUCCUCAGGCAAGAGGAGUAUGGAAAACAUGCACAGUGGAUAGCUGCCCCAGAUGACCAGCUGCUUCUCCCAGCAUAGCUCUUUAGCUUCCAGCAGACAGCACCAUCUAAAGCACCAUUUUUCCUAAGGAGGGCCGGGAAAGCUGCAGCUCCUUCCAGCUGGCUCUGACAUCACUGCUCCCGCAUCCCGUGUGUGCCAUGGGCCGGCACGGAGGCAGCGCUGGCCUUUCUGGUAACAGAAGCAGAACAUCAGCACCAAAAUUAGCCAAGGAACUCAGCUGAGCAAACRCUGCGGGUGGAACUGAUUCUCCUCCUUGUAGAUUACUUUGCCGUUCAGGUAUGAUUUUUCCUGAGCCAACAGCGGCUGGUUUAUCAUACAGGUGUGAAUCAGCCCUCAGAAAUAGUCAUUGAGUAAGUAACUCAAUAACUUUCCACAACAGAGUUUAAAUAAACAUAUUCUUGGUUGUUGCA
rnacentral:lncRNA from 1 species